rnacentral:rRNA from 1 species
ACUCCUACGGGAGGCAGCAGUAAGGAAUAUUGGUCAAUGGACGCAAGUCUGAACCAGCCAUGCCGCGUGAAGGAUGAAGGUCCUCUGGAUUGUAAACUUCUUUUAUAGGGGGCGAAAAAGGUUUUCUUAAAUCACUUGACAGUACCCUAUGAAUAAGCACCGGCUAACUCCGUGCCAGCAGCCGCGGUAAUACGGAGGGGUGCAAGCGUUAUCCGGAUUCACUGGGGUUUAAAGGGGUGCGUAGGCGGGUAGGUAAGUCAGAGGUGAAAUCCUGGAGCUUAACUCCAGAACUGCCUUUGAUACUAUCUAUCUUGAAUAUGGUGGAGGUAAGCGGAAUAUGUCAUGUAGCGGUGAAAUGCAUAGAUAUGACAUAGAACACCUAUUGCGAAGGCAGCUUACUACGCCUAUAUUGACGCUGAGGCACGAAAGCGUGGGGAUCGAAACAGGAUUAGAUACCCUGGUA